UUGAACUUAAAUUAAACGGGCUGAACGGGCAGUGGAAUAAGAAAGGAGCACCUUUUACAUUCGCCGACAAAAUUUACCAAUACAGUAAUCAGUAUCCAAGUCUACUAAUGUAUACGCAGUGUCUUUGAUCUUGAAAUCUAUUUGAAUGCAAGGUAAGGAGGUGCAAACUGUUGCUUGAUCGAUCUGUGGUUGAUAUACUGCUGUAUGUGUCUAUUAAAGUAAAGCUUUCCUGCAUUAUACAGGUAGUUGUUUAGUAUCUGCCGGCUUUUGUUUUGUGAGUUAUUCUUUCAGCACCAGGAAAGCGUGCUUGAGAAAGUGAUUAGUUCAGUUUCAGUACGAAAGAACGAUCAUGAGCUUCCCUGUUUAUUUUUUAAACGUAUUAAAACUAGUGAUGCUGCUGUCAUAAUCGUUCUUUUGAAUAUAAUCAUUAUAUAGAUGUGGCCGGAACCUUGUAUGAUCACUGGGUGUCCAUUGUUGUAGUACCUCGGAAAGCGCCUGCAUUUCACUUCAGUGAUUGGGUGAGUGAGUGCUGGAGUGAUGUGCAUGGAGUUAAGGCUUGCUUUUUAAAAGCAGUAUUUUGUGCCUCGCAAAACUGGUUUUAUGCUUGGCGCAUAGUUUUGAACAUGGCAGGAUCUCGCAAAUUGUUGUCCACUCCCGCAUUCAUGCAUACCCGCCAUUUGCGAUGCGCAAACCUUUCGAAUACCUUUCGAAUAGAGUUUAACUACAGAAAUUGUCUCUAUUCCUACAUCUUUAAGGAAUAUAGAAUAUAAAAUUCAAUAAAAUACAGUUUUAUCAAUAACAAACAGUUUAUUAUACAUGCUGGGUUAUUUAGCAGUCUGAAAGAGUUUCAUUUUUACACAGUGGGAAUUAUGAUGAAUUACUUUGUAUAUUAAUCAGAAUAAUUUCAAAGUGUUUUAACUUUAAUUUGCAGAAUAUCAGCAGUCUCUUCAGUGUACAUCAUUUUCACAAGGUGUUAAACCAACAAUGUUCGUUGCCAUCUACAGCUGUAAUCCCCUGAAAGACAGCCCCAAUGAGAGGUGGCCUUUAAGGAAGGGGACACAGUCUAGGGGUUUGGAAAAAUAGGAGGGAUGGCUUCUGUGAUGCAGAGAUGGCUAACACGAUCCGGAGCUGUCGCUACAGGCCAGCACAAAACCAGACAGCACUUCACCACUGUGCACGACCAAGACCACCAGCUGCCACACCAGGGUGUGAUGUGAUUUACUGUGUUGCCAGCUCGUCUGAAGUGCCCUAGAACAAAAGUUACGCAACAGAAAGAUCUGACCUAACAAACCACCAAGAAUGAAAUUGGGUGGGGAAUGGGGGAAGAACCUGGGAACACAUCAGUCUAUGCAGUCCUCCAUGCUGAGGUCCAGUCCUGCCCCGUCAUGACUCCUGCUUUGUGUCUACACAAUGUUUCAGGCAUCCAUCUGACCCUAAAGUCUGGUGCUACUUGCUGUUUGACAGCGAUAAAGGUCUUGCUCUGGAGCUCCCCUAUGUGCUAAAACUGUGUUCACACAAGUGUUUAGCCAGCUUACCGUGACAAAGUUUACAUUAUUGUUCCAACUGUUGAAGGCUCCUGGGUUUAUCUAUCACAUUGUCUAAGAACAGAGAGAUUUGUGUUCAGAUGUUCACAUUUGCUGUCCGUUUCGUAUUAGCAUCAUAUCCAAAUACGUAUACUUUGAGAAGUGUAGGGAAUUGAAACAGAUCACACAAUUGUUAAUAUAAUAACCUAGGUUUAUGUACCUAAUACAGGCCAAACAUUGAACUGUAAUUACAGUCUAGAGGGCAUCAAAUAAUGUUAUAAUCCUUAUUCCACGUACAGCAAACGUAUGUUAAUUACAAAGUAUAGGAUUUUAAAUAA